rnacentral:rRNA from 1 species
GCAACGAGCGCAACCCUUGUCAUUAGUUGCCAUCAUUGUUGGGCACUCUAAUGAGACUGCCGGUGACAAACCGGAGGAAGGUGGGGAUGACGUCAAGUCCUCAUGGCCCUUAUGGGUAGGGCUUCACACGUCAUACAAUGGUCGGUACAGAGGGUUGCCAACCCGCGAGGGGGAGCUAAUCCCACAAAGCCGAUCGUAGUCCGGAUCGCAGUCUGCAACUCGACUGCGUGAAGUCGGAAUCGCUAGUAAUCGUGGAUCAGCAUGUCACGGUGAAUACGUUCCCGGGUCUU